ACUCAAAGGAAUUGACGGGGGCCCGCACAAGCAGCGGAGCAUGUUGUUUAAUUCGAAGCAACGCGAAGAACCUUACCAGGUCUUGACAUCGAUCAAAAGCGCUAGAGAUAGUGUGUGUCUUCGGACGUGAGAAGACAGGUGGUGCAUGGUUGUCGUCAGCUCGUGUCGUGAGAUGUUGGGUUAAGUCCCGCAACGAGCGCAACCCUUAUGGUCAGUUACUAACGCGUAGAGGCGAGGACUCUGACGAGACUGCCGGGGACAACUCGGAGGAAGGUGGGGACGACGUCAAAUCAUCAUGCCCCUUAUGACCUGGGCUACAAACGUGCUACAAUGGUGGCAACAGAGAGGGGCGAGCAUGUGAAUGUGAGCGGAUCUCAAAAAAGCCAUCCCAGUUCGGAUUGUGGGCUGCAACCCGCCCACAUGAAGUUGGAGUUGCUAGUAAUCGCGAAUCAGCAUGUCGCGGUGAAUACGUUCCCGGGCCUUGUACACACCGCCCGU
rnacentral:rRNA from 1 species